ACCUGGUUGGCUCAGUCGGUUAAGCAUCCGACUUCCACUCAGGUGAUGGUCUCACGGUUCGUGGGUUCAAGCCCCGCGUCAGGCU
rnacentral:tRNA from 1 species